UACGUAGGGUGCAAGCGUUAUCCGGAAUUAUUGGGCGUAAAGAGCUCGUAGGCGGUUUGUCGCGUCUGCUGUGAAAACUGGAGGCUCAACCUCCAGCCUGCAGUGGGUACGGGCAGACUAGAGUGCGGUAGGGGAGAUUGGAAUUCCUGGUGUAGCGGUGGAAUGCGCAGAUAUCAGGAGGAACACCGGUGGCGAAGGCGCACAUCUGGCCCGAUACUGACGCUGAGGCGCGAAAGCUAGGGGAGCAAACGGG
rnacentral:rRNA from 1 species